rnacentral:rRNA from 1 species
AGUGAACGCUGGCGGUAGGCCUAACACAUGCAAGUCGAACGGCAACACAGUAAGAGCUUGCUUUUACCGGUGGCGAGUGGCGGACGGGUGAGGCAUACAUCGGAAUCUACUUUUUCGUGGGGGAUAACGUAGGGAAACUUACGCUAAUACCGCAUACGACCUACGGGUGAAAGCAGGGGAUCUUCGGACCUUGCGCGAUUGAAUGAGCCGAUGUCGGAUUAGCUAGUUGGCGAGGUAAAGUCUCACCAAGGCAACGAUCCGUAGCUGGUCUGAGAGGAUGAUCAGCCACACUGGAACUGAGACACGGUCCAGACUCCUACGGGAGGCAGCAGUGGGGAAUAUUCGACAAUGGGCGCAAGCCUGAUGCAGCCAUACCGCGUGGGUGAAGAAGGCCUUCGGGUUGUAAAGCCCUUUUGUUGGGAAAGAAAAACAGCAGGUUAAUACCUCGCUGUUCUGACGGUACCCAAAGAAUAAGCCCCGGCUAACUUCGUG